rnacentral:rRNA from 1 species
UCGAGGGGUAUGGGCUUUCGGGCCCGAGACCGGCGCACGGGUGCGUAACGCGUAUGCAAUCUACCUUUUACAGCGGGAUAGCCCAGAGAAAUUUGGAUUAAUACCACAUAGUAUUAUAGGAUGGCAUCAUUUUAUAAUUAAAGUCACAACGGUAAAAGAUGAGCAUGCGUCCCAUUAGCUAGUUGGUAAGGUAACGGCUUACCAAGGCAACGAUGGGUAGGGGUCCUGAGAGGGAGAUCCCCCACACUGGUACUGAGACACGGACCAGACUCCCACGGGAGGCAGCAGUGAGGAAUAUUGGACAAUGGGCGCAAGCCUGAUCCAGCCAUGCCGCGUGCAGGAUGACGGUCCUAUGGAUUGUAAACUGCUUUUAUACAGGAAGAAACCCUUGCUCGUGAGCAAGAUUGACGGUACUGUAAGAAUAAGGAUCGGCUAACUCCGUGCCAGCAGCCGCGGUAAUACGGAGGAUCCAAGCGUUAUCCGGAAUCAUUG